AUUGAACGCUGGCGGCAGGCCUAACACAUGCAAGUCGAACGGUAACAGGAAGCAGCUUGCUGCUUCGCUGACGAGUGGCGGACGGGUGAGUCAUGUCUGGGAAACUGCCUGAUGGAGGGGGAUAACUACUGGAAACGGUAGCUAAUACCGCAUAACGUCGCAAGCCCAAAGAGGGGGACCUUAGGGCCUCUUGCCAUCGGGUGUGCCCAGAUGGGAUUAGCUAGUAGGUGGGGUAACGGCUCACCUAGGCGACGAUCCCUAGCUGGUCUGAGAGGAUGACCAGCCACACUGGAACUGAGACACGGUCCAGACUCCUACGGGAGGCAGCAGUGGGGAAUAUUGCACAAUGGGCGCAAGCCUGAUGCAGCCAUGCCGCGUGUAUGAAGAAGGCCUUCGGGUUGUAAAGUACUUUCAGCGGGGAGGAAGGGAGUAAAGUUAAUACCUUUGCUCAUUGACGUUACCCGCAGAAGAAGCACCGGCUAACUCCGUG
rnacentral:rRNA from 1 species